CACAUGACUCUCGGCAACGGAUAUCUCGGCUCUCGCAUCGAUGAAGAACGUAGCAAAAUGCGAUACCUGGUGUGAAUUGCAGAAUCCCGUGAACCAUCGAGUUUUUGAACGCAAGUUGCGCCCGAGGCCUUCUGGUUGAGGGCACGUCUGCCUGGGCGUCACGC
rnacentral:rRNA from 32 species